AGAAAUGACAUCAGAAACUGGAAGAGGAAUUAUCAACGAAUUUCACCCUUCACCCAGUUUCAAUGAGCUCACCUAUGAAUGUAAACUAGAAAUCACAAGUCCCAUGUGAGAAGAAAAGACCUGGGGAGCCAUGUGAGAUUUCCCAGUUUCUUCCUGCUUGGUCUGUGCCUCUUCCUUGUUUGUCUUUGAAAUCACUAGUAAAUCCUGAUACUGAGUAAGAGUUCUAAUUUGUGAAUCUGAUUUGAUGAUAUGAUUAUUUGCAUUAGCUCAGUAAUCAUGAUUGUUUAUUCGAUAGCAGCAGUAAAAUCAUCAAUAUGAGGUUGAUUUUUCAUCAUCAAUAUAUUGAGAUUAAAACAAAUUACCACUGGAGGAGAUGGCAAUGCAUGAUUAUCUUUCUGAGGGAAAUUGUGAACAUUUAAGAGCAAAUAUUUAAUUGCAUGUUAAUGUACAGUAAACACUAGGGAAAAUAUACAGGUUUUUUAAAAUAAGAAAUAGCUUGCAUAUAAUACUUAGAUGAUGACUUAUAUAACAUUUAUGUAAUGUCUUUAUUAGUUUGAAUCCAUGGGUAAUUUUUAAAAAAAUGAUCUGAAACUAUCAUUUUGAUAUGAUAGCUCCAAAUCUGGAUCUGCACUGUAUAUUGUAGAUGUAGAAUUAAUUUUCUGCACAGAAAUAGCAGUGCCUCAUAAUUAUUGCCUGUGUUCCAUUCUCAUUACUAGGUAAGAGUGGGGAUGAAGUGAGGAGACAACAUCCUUAUCAAUGUCUGACUUCUAUACUUUUCAGUCCUUAAGGCUUUGCUUUCAAUCUGCCCUGUGGGGAUCCCCGAGAAAUCUUGGAAGCUGUGUUACUGGCGAUGAUGGGACAAGAGAUUGGACACACCUCGUUAUACCCCCUCGUCACUAACUGACAUUAAGUAUUGCUUCUUAUGGAUUAAACAGAAACGAGCCAUUCUGAAAGACUCCACACCAAUAUCAACAAACUCCCUGAUGCUUUCCCUCCCUGUCUGCAGUUUCAACACAACUAACCAGUACUUCUCUCUUAUAAGACCAUCAACCACUGAGUGGUUCUGGCAAGUCUAUGGAGGAUGCACAGUGAGGUUUUUUUUUGUGUCCUGUUUUUCACCUUUUGACAUCAGAGGGCCAAAAUCUCUACCCUCAAAUCAUGCUAAUGCUGCCAUGGGACCCAUGGAGAGGCAUGAAGCUCAAUUGUACAUAUGCAUGCUUGUCCUUUCAUAAAUAUGCAUUACUCCUCUUAUAGCUUAUGAAUAUGCAUAUUUGGCCACCCCAUUCAGCAUAAAUCCCUGUCUUGUUCUCCCAAUCCUUGAAGUGCCUGUUUAUAGCCUCUAGGCCAGAGACUAUGCUUCCCAGCCUGUCAGAAUGGCCACCCUGCAGACUGCAAGCCAUUAUGAGAAAUAAAGCACUCUUUUUAAAAUUUAUGAACCUUGUCAUUCUUCAGUUGACAGUUUUAAGCUGAUAGAAAGAACUAUUAGUACUACUUUUAUGCUUAACAUUACAAAAUGUUUUUCUUUGUAGGAGGGAAAUCACAGGUAAAAUACAUCUUCAAAGGCAACCUAAAAUAGAAACAGU
rnacentral:lncRNA from 1 species